rnacentral:rRNA from 1 species
GACGUAGGGCGCGAGCGUUGUCCGGAUUUAUUGGGCGUAAAGAGCUCGUAGGCGGCUUGUCGCGUCGUCCGUGAAAACCUGCAGCUCAACUGCAGGCUUGCGGUCGAUACGGGCAGGCUAGAGUUCGGUAGGGGAGACUGGAAUUCCUGGUGUAGCGGUGAAAUGCGCAGAUAUCGGGAAGAACACCCGUGGCGAAGGCGGCUCUCUGGGACGGUACUGACGCUGAGACGCGAAAGCGUGGGGAGCGAACAGG